ACGCUCGACACCUACGGGAGCAGCAGUGGGGAAUAUUGCACAAUGGGGGAAACCCUGAUGCAGCGACGCCGCGUGAGCGAAGAAGUAUCUCGGUAUGUAAAGCUCUAUCAGCAGGGAAGAAGAUGACGGUACCUGACUAAGAAGCACCGGCUAAAUACGUGCCAACAGCCGCGGUAAUCUGAGCGGGCUGGCAAGGC
rnacentral:rRNA from 1 species